AAUUCGAUGCUACACGAAGAACUUACCAGGUUUGACAUACAAGUAGUAGGGAAGGAAACUGGACCGACCUUCGGGAGCUUGUACAGGUGCUGCAUGGCUGUCGUCAGCUCGUGUCGUGAGAUGUUCGGUUAAGUCCGCUAACGAGCGCAGCCCUUAUCCCUAGUUGCCAUCAGGUAAAGCUGGGAACUCUGGGGAGACUGCCGGUGAUAAACCGGAGGAAGGCGGGGAUGACGUCAAGUCCUCAUGGCCCUUACAUCCCGGGCUACACACGUGCUACAAUGGCAGGUACAGAGGGCUGCGAAGCCGCGAGGUGGAGCGAAUCCCAGAAAACCUGUCUCAGUCCGGAUUGAAGUCUGCAACUCGACUUCAUGAAGGCGGAAUCGCUAGUAACCGCGAAUCAGCAGGUCGCGGUGAAUACGUUCCCGGGCCUU
rnacentral:rRNA from 1 species